rnacentral:rRNA from 1 species
GACGAACCGUGCGAACGUUGUUCGGAAUCACUGGGCGUAAAGGGCGCGUAGGCGGCGUUUUAAGUCGGGGGUGAAAGCCUGUGGCUCAACCACAGAAUGGCCCUCGAUACUGGGACGCUUGAGUAUGGUAGAGGUUGGUGGAACUGCGAGUGUAGAGGUGAAAUUCGUAGAUAUUCGCAAGAACACCGGUGGCGAAGGCGGCCAACUGGACCAUUACUGACGCUGAGGCGCGAAAGCGUGGGGAGCAAACAGG